GACGUAGGGCGCGAGCGUUGUCCGGAUUUAUUGGGCGUAAAGAGCUCGUAGGCGGCUUGUCGCGUCGGCUGUGAAAACCCGCGGCUCAACCCUGGGAUGCCGGUCGAUACUGUCGGGCUAGAGUGCGGAAGAGGCGAGUGGAAUUCCUGGUGUAGCGGUGAAAUGCGCAGAUAUCAGGAGGAACACCUAUUGCGAAGGCAGCUCGCUGGGACGUAACUGACGCUGAGACGCGAAAGCGUGGGGAGCAAACAGG
rnacentral:rRNA from 1 species